rnacentral:misc_RNA from 1 species
GUUUCACUUCCUCUUUCAAAAAAAAAUCAAAAUUUGAUCAAAAAACCCACCUUUCACUCUUACUCUCACUCCUUUUCUUGCCAAAUUCUCCACUCCGUUUCCCGUAAUCACUCCACAUUUUUACGAAAUUCGGACAAUUUUCACAUUCAAGAUUGUUGUCUACUUUCACUUAAAUAGAGAAUAAACAUGCACUCUCUGGUACAUAAUUAUCCAUAACAUUCCUUUUCGAUCAGUGGGUGUGGGUUGUUAUGGAUGUUCACGUGAUUGAUGAAGAGGAGGGGG